CUCCCAGCGGGAGGGAAGCGUCUUUGUGCCCGCACCCCUCCCCCACCCUCUGGGUCUCUGUGCAUAGGGGGCGCGGCCUCUGUCAUCCAACCCAGACUGGGAGGGCAUCUUUCUGCCCCUUCUCCGACCUCCUGUAUUUGGGUGUGUUUGGGGAGCCCUCGGCCGCUGUGUCCGGCAUCUAGACCCUUCAUCCGUUGCCAUGGCCACGAUCAGUGCCUGGAAGAGAAGGGGGAGCAGGGUAGGGGCUCCCUCUGGGAUCAGGCUUACAAAGUGGGGGGGAGUCUUGGGCUCUGCCUCUUGGGGCACCCCCUCAUGUGUGUGCACGUUGGGGGAACACAGUCACCCCCUUGGCAGGCCUCCCCCUACUGGACCCCCAUCUGGGCUUCCAGUGCCCCUCUGAUGAAGCUCCCCACUGGUCCCCUCGCCCCACUUCCGGCCAGCGCCCCGCCCGGCUCCGGAGCCCCCUCCCCGGGCCCGCCCCCUGGCCGCCCUACCCGCAGGCCCCGCCCCCGGGCCCGCCCCCAGGCCGAGCUCGCUGGGCCUUGGCCUCUCCCGAGUCCUGUCCUCGCUGCGCGCGGCGCUCCAGGCAGACCGAGGGACGGGCUGCAUCGGGCCCGGCCGGAGGGGCCCGGGCCCGAUCUCCAAGCCGAGAUCCGCGCGGGGUCCCAGCCACCCAAGUCCUGCCCGGUCUGUCCUGGACCUCAUCUCCAUCCUGUAAAGGCUCCAGCAGACCCUCAGAGCAGAUGUAAGUUCCAGCUGGAGGCCGUGCCCUUGCUGGCCUCCCCUGUGUGUGGUGUCUCCCUCUGGCCUCGGUUUCCCCCUCUGAAAUGGAUGUGGCCACCGGAAUGAUGUGGGUAAACUGUCCAAUGGGGCUGGGCAUGCAGUAGGCGUCUGAUAUAUGUAGGGGCCUUGCCACGUUCCCAGGGUGGGGAGGAAGCUACCGUCUUGGAGGAUGACAGGCCUGUGAUGGGAGACUCACAGGGUGCGGGGAUAGCCCCGAGGGGGCCCUGAUCUAGCCUGGAACAUCCGGGGGGCUUCUUGGUAGAGGUGACAGCUCAACUGAGACCUGUGGAUGAGUGUGAAGAUUGAAGUUCAGUGAGGAAGGAGGAAGGGUGUGCCGGGUAGAAGGAAUAGCAUGUGCUCGUUCGUUCCCCUUUGUGAGCCAGAGGACAGUGAGUAGGGGCACCCAUGGGGUGCACCAGGCUCUGGGGGGGCAACAUGGUGAGGUCAGCAGUUCUGAAGGCUGAGGUUAGGAAUCUGGAUUUUAAUGACAUUGAUGGGAGCCAUGGAAUGUUUGAGAGCAACGGAGGGACAGAGUCAGUUAGCCACUCCCAGCCCCAGAAUGACGGGUCAGCGCUGGGUGAAGGAAGGGUCCCAGGUUGGGGGUCAAGAGGGAUCAAGAUUUAGUCUAGGGUGGGGAGAUCUGUGGCUGGGUCUUGGAGCAUGAGUCCACAGGUGGGCUGGCUGGGGAAGGGUGUACCUGGUCCAGGCGCCCAUGUUAAAAAAGGCCCAGAGGCAGCCCAGUGCAUCUCGGAAACCACAGUAACCUGGGGGAAGAGCAGCAGGGUGGGCCCAGGGUCACAUCCUUCAGGGCCCAGAAUGCCGAGCACAGGAGCUGGGAGCCCUGGUGGGUGUGAGUGGGGCUGAAAUGUACAAAUCUUGGCAUCUCAGGCUUCUCCAUGGAGCUGGCGUGGCAGACAUACUGGCAGGGGCAAGCCUGGCAGCCCGGGCACCUAGGAGGGUGAUUGAGAGCUGGUCUCCGGCCUCGGAUCUCAGCCCAGCCCCGUCUCCCCGAGCUGCAUGCCCCUCACCGAGCAGCUACCCCUCUCUGAGCUCAUGUCCUCAUCUGUCCGGUGGAAGGACACGUGGAGAGCGUGUAAGAGGGCUCAGCACGUGGUGGGGCCACCCGGCUGGCAUUACUGUUUCCUCCCUCUGGGACUGGGCCUGGCUCCCCAUCCACACCUCCCAUCCGCUCCUUGCUGCGGCGACCCUUGGGGACAGCACCCAGUACAAAUCUAGAGUUAAUUAAAGGCGGAUCCCUUGGCCGGUGUUAGCCCAUUCUCGGAAGGCUGGCAGGGCUGGCCCCGCUCAGCCCCACCCUGAGCCCGUUUCCUGGUGGGGGGGUUUGGGGGGGACAUCAAGGCCCCAAGAGGGAGAGGGACUUGGCUAGAGCCACUUUGAGCCUACCAGUGACAACAGAGCUGGAGCUUGGACCCUCGUUGACACCUUGGGGACACAGCGAUCCAGGAAGGUUGGAGGCACAGGUUGUGCCCUUGAGGGUCUGCCUUGGAAAAGGGAUUCCAGUCAGCAGGACAGUCUGUGGGCCCAGAAGGGAGGGAGUGUGGGGGUGAAAGGUUGUGCUGGGAGGAGGGGGGACUUUCUCCUAAGGGCGACUGCCAGCAUCCCCGGUCUUAGAUUCCCUGGCCUGGGGCUGUGCAAGUCCCCUGAGGGUCGGGUUGUGCACAGAAGCCCCUGCCCCCCUAGGAUAGGACAGACCCUGAGGUGGGGGCAGGGAGAGGCACUGGGGUGCCCUCCAGCCUCAGGGACAGCGUCUCGUGCGGGUGACACCGAGCCUAUUUGCUGCCCAGUCCUGGGUCAUAAUUGCCCCUUUAUGCUUCCUGUUUCGCGUGGGUACACAAGGCUGGCUCCAGGAUCUCGUGACCCACGCCCUGGCGACCGGCUAGCAUGGGUAUCUUCCCACCCCUGUGAUCAAGGCCUCCGAGCGCUCAGAGGCUGCCUAGCGGUCUGCACUGGGCCCAGAGAGGAUCACCCACUUUGCUGGGAUCCCAGAGUGGCCAGGGAGGGGCAUGGUCAUGUGAUGAAAUGUGGGCUCUGGACCCAGGGUUUCACCCAGCUGGGGGACUUGGGCGAGUCCCCACUCUGUGAGCCUCAGUGUUGUCAUCUGUGAAAGGGAGCACCUGCCUCUGGCUGGCUGCCGAGAACAAACGCUGGUCGGUUCCACGCCUGUCCCGGAAGAAACUCGGUCACUGAUGGCCCGGCAGUGGGCAGGGACCCCCCCGGCCCUCGGUCCAGGUCCAGAGGCCAUUUUCCACCCUCCCUGAAGCCCAGACUCGUUUCCUAUCCAAGUUAUUCUCUGUGACUCCCAUGGGUGGCUGCUCCCUUGUUAACAGCCACGCCAUAGUCUAGGAACUCGGAUUGCUGCGUCAUGUGGCCCCAAUGUGGCUGCCUCAGUUUCCCUUUCUUGGCAGUGGCAGGGGUGGUGGCCCAGGCUGCUUUGCUACAAGAGGGGCAGGGAGGAGGCUUGGCCAAGGCCAAGCCAGCCAUGUCCCUCCCAGCCCAGAGCUGCCUAGAGCUCCUUGGUGUCCUAUGGGUCCGGUCCAUACCUGCCUCUUUGCCCUGAUCUCUCUCCUAGGUUCUCUGCUUCUUGCCCUUCCUCAUGCUGCUUCUUGUGCAGAGACACCCUCCCUGUUCCCAUUCACCCUUUUAUUCUCAGCCAAAUAAUACUAAAUCUGGGCAGAGGGCACAGCACAUGCAAAGGUCCUGGGGCAGGAACAGCGAGGGCUGUGUGGCUGGUGCAGAGUGAGGAAGGGGAGGGCAGGGAGGGGAUGGGGCAGGUCAUGCAGGCCUAGGGGGUCAGGGGAGGACUUGGGCUUUUACCCCAGGGAGGUGGGAGCCCUGAAGGGCUGUGGGCAGAGGCGCCCUCUGGCUUCAGGGGGAGGACAGAUUGUGGGGGCGAGGGCAGGAGAUGGCUGCAUUGGUCCCCGUGGGCGAUGAUGGGGCUGGACCAGUUGGAGGUGGAGGAAGGGGCAGAAAAUGGGAGGAAUUGGGGUAGAUUUUGAAGGCAGAGCUGGGAGCACUUGCUUCUUUUCUUCCCUGAGCCCUUGCAGGAGACCCCACCCAGAAUCCUCCAGGGAGAAGGAAGGGCAGGAGCCCCGGGAGGGCUCGGCAGGGGCCUGUCUCCAGCAUGGCCAGUUCCUCAGAGAGGACGGGUUCCUGAGAGACCCUGGAACUUUCCCUCUUCCUUGCGGUGCAUGACCCUCUCCUCCUUGAGUCUGCCCCCACCUCCCACCCCCAUUCCCGUUGGACCAUCCACGCCCCGGCAGCGCCCAGUGCUGCCCCCCCCCCCCAGCGGGCUGGCGUGGCGGAUAUGAAGGAGCCUGCGCCCGGAUCAGCCCCAUCCUGCCCGGACUAUUGAGGAGGCGUGGGCCCUGCGAGGCGGGGGCUCCGGGAGCCAGGGGGUAAUUAGGGGCCUCUCUAUUCUGAAGGCGGCUCCUCCUGGCUCUCUUGGGGGUGCGGGGAGUGGGAGAGGCGGCUGGAGCGGGAGGUCAUCUCUGUGCAGGUGGCCUCUGGCUCAUGCCUGCGUUCUGGGGGGGGACGCUGAGGUAAAGCAGGAGGUCCCCCUCCUGGGGGGUCCAUGGUGGGCCUAGCAGCCCUGAGUGUGAGCCACCCUGGGCUGCAGGCUUUCUGUGUGGCCUCAGUUUCCCCAGAGGCUCUCUGAGGGCCUGCCCAAGUGGCCUGGGCCCAAGCCCCCUACUCAGAUGUGCCCGGCAGCUGUGUGUCUGUGGGUGGGACCGGCUGCUGUGGUCACCGUGGCUCCAGCCCGCUGCGGCUCCUUUCCCCAUCUGGGGCCUCCACCUUGCUCUUGGGUCACUUUCACUCUUAAAGGGCCCAUGGCGGGGGUACCGGCUGGGGGUAAGGGGAUGUGCUCUAGGCUUCUCUUUCCCUACCUUCCCGGUCCCCGACUAGUCGUGUUUGAGUGUGUACCCGGAUUGCAACUCUGAGUGCCGGUCUGCGUGUGUCCUUAGACGAGGGGGUCUGACUUCGUCUCUGUAUUUACUGCCUGGCUGAUACGAGUGUGGCGUGCUGCCUACCCAGCCCGUCUCCGUCUCCGUGGUCUGACUGUGCGCACAUCUGAGUCUCAGACCCGUGCGCUCUGGUUGCCUGUUUGCACGCUGUAGACCUCUGAUCUGACUCCCUAUUUCUAUUCGUCUACAGCCCAACGGCGUAUGUGUGUCGUCUGCCUGACCACGACUGUGUGUGUGUAACCGGUCAUGCUGUUUGUCUGUGGUCUCUGCGUGGACCCACCUGUCUGAUCCCACCGUGCUUGUGGCCUGACUGGGUACGUGGCUUGUCUGCCCCGUGCUGACCCUGUACAUGCAUCUUACCUGACCCUGGGUGUCCGAGGUCUGAUUUUGUGCCUGUUGGUGGUCUCUGUGCAAGCUCUACUUGCGUGGCUACGCGUGUGGACCCAUCCUUCUUGCCCGGCUGUGCGAAUACGUCGGCGUCUGCGUCCGGUCUCCCUGUCUGUCUGUGGUCUGACUGUGGGUCUGUCUGUGGUUCAGGUGCAGGCAUCCUUCUCUCUGUCUGGUCUGUCUGUCCGUGGUCUGACUACGUGCAGGUUGAGCCCCCACCUCCACCCCUCACCCUCCCAUCCUGGCUUCCCCACCCCCAGCCCUGAGCCAUGACCAGGCCACUACCAGCCCAGCCUUCUCCCGGGGCCUCUCUGGGGCUGGGCGAGGUGACCGCAGCUGGGUAUUUCGGGAGGCAGAAUCACAGGGGCUGCCCCACCAUUAUGUGGCACCCAUCCCUGUGGUCGUGGCCUGGACCCGCCCGGGGCAUGGCCUGGGGUGGGUGUGGGGCUGACCUAGGCCUCACCUCUCUCUGCCUCUCUCGGGCCCUCUGCCCCGGCCUUCUGUCCUGGAGAUUGGGGAGGGGCUUUGGCCCAUGUGAUCAGGGGCUCUUCUGCCCUAGAGAGUUUAGAUUCUUGUGGGAGAAACAGACUCUGAGUGAUUAACAUUCGCAUGUAAUUUGCAAACUGGGCUGAAGUCGUGGAGGAUGAUGGUCUUACUC
rnacentral:lncRNA from 1 species